AUGGACUGUGUUAACCAUGGGUGGUGCUGCCCUGAGAGAUAGGUGCAGGGAGUAGUGGCUCUACUUAAGGCAGUAUCUGCUAACCCCUCUUGGAUCAUGAAUGGAGUGGGGAUGGAUGGGAGGGAGGGAGAGUUGUGUUGAGGUGGUGCCAUUGGUUGUGGUCUUCAGGAGUGUUGUGUCUGUGCUGGUGGCCCUGAAAAAGCCUUCUUGACUAGAAAGAAGAAAGGUAAAGUGCGCUGGAGGCAAGCAAAGGGCAUCUUCCUGUGUAAUUUUUCAGUUUGACCCUGAAGUGACAUGAAAUAUGCUCAAAUCCUUCUUCAUGUACAAGAUCUUGAACGAUACCUUGCCUGUGCAUACCCUGUAUAGUGAGUAUAUGGUGCUACCUCAGUAAGAAGUCUGCAGUGGAGUCAGUACCUGAAGAAUUGGGGCCUACUAUCACUCUUCCAUACUGGUCUUACAGAUUCUUUGGGCAGUUAAACAACAGUUUAAGAAGAUCUUAGCUCCAAGGCUCUCUGAAUGCUGUACAGACAUUAGCAAGCCUUGAUGAUGCUCCUUUAAGGCUGCCUGAAAUUGCAGCAAAACCUGCUAUUGGCUGCUGGAUUGAAUUCUAAAUACCACAUGCAAAUUUUGUGAUUGGUUCCAUUUGUUGCAAUGAGUGGAACUAAUUCUCUGGAUCCAAGUAUAAUUAGAUGAAUCUAGAUCAUAAGUCUGGGAAUUGCACCCAAAAAUAUGAAGUUCAUUUUCCUUUGUUCUCUCGUUUCACUGAAUAACAAUAGUAAGUAUUAGCCUUUCCUGUUCAAAAUCUAUUAAGGCCAAUGAAGCCUAUAAAGAAAAAGCAUGACAACCUAUGGGAACAGCACAUCUUUACAAGCUUGCAGAAUGAAGUAGUGGAGGAAGGUAGCUAUAUAUGCCUCAGGAACAAUGCAGACAAUUCGCUUUUUAUUUUUUCCUAAUACCCUAACCUUUGUAUUUUUACCUGUAUUUUUAUUACCUGUUUUGCCUCAUUGUGAAGAGACAAGUUUUUUUCAUGAAGAGGUGAUGCAGGUCAGUCUCGGAAUGACUCUGGGAUCAAUGCUUCUACUCUAGUGUUUAAAGUCUGAAGACUUCCUAAUGUCUGCAUUGAGUCUGGUUUUGUUUUUCUUCAUCCUGCGAGAUCUCGCCUGCUAGCAAGCCAGCAGAAAUGAGAGAACAACACUGUCUCUUUAGUAUGGAAGAACACGCAACUGUUUCAGAAAGCAUUGCUGUUUCAGCAUCAGUCUGAAAGUUUGACUAUCCUAGAGCUUUUAGGUUCUGCUCUGCUAAAAUAAAAACCUGAGCUCACGAGUGACCCUGU